UGGGGAUAUUGCACAAUGGGCGCAAGCCUGAUGCAGCGACGCCGCGUGGGGGAUGAAGGCCUUCGGGUUGUAAACUUCUUUUGCUCUGAACAAGGCGCACUUUGGGGUGUGUUGAGUGUAGGGGUUGAUUAGCGCCGGCUAACUACGUGCCAGCAGCCGCGGUAAUACGUAUGGCGCGAGCGUUGUCCGGAAUUAUUGGGCGUAAAGGGCUUGUAGGUGGCUGGUUGCGUCUGUCGUGAAAGCUCAUGGCUUAACUGUGGGUUUGCGGUGGGUACGGGCUGGCUUGAGUGCAGUAGGAGAGGCUGGAAUUCCUGGUGUAGCGGUGGAAUGCGCAGAUAUCAGGAGGAAUACCGGUGGCGAAGGCGGGUCUCUGGGCUGUUACUGACACUGAGGAGCGAAAGCAUGGGGAGCGAACAGG
rnacentral:rRNA from 1 species